rnacentral:rRNA from 1 species
GGGUCAGUAGGUUGGUCGUGCCACCGGUACGUACUGGUCUCACUGAUUCCUCCUUCCUGAAGAACCGUAAUGCCAUUUAUUUGGUGUUGCGGGGAAACAGGACUGCUACUUUGAAAAAAUUAGAGUGUUUAAAGCAAGCUAACGCUUGAAUACAUUAGCAUGGAAUAAUGAAAUAGGACGAUCGAUCCUAUUUUGUUGGUUUCUAGGAUUGACGUA